rnacentral:rRNA from 1 species
UACGAAGGGGGCUAGCGUUGUUCGGAAUUACUGGGCGUAAAGCGCGCGCAGGCGGUCUUCCAAGUCAGUGGUGAAAGCCCGGAGCUCAACUCCGGAACUGCCAUUGAAACUGUGAGACUUGAGGAUGAGAGAGGUGAGUGGAAUUCCCAGUGUAGAGGUGAAAUUCGUAGAUAUUGGGAGGAACACCGGUGGCGAAGGCGGCGAUCUGGGUCGAUACUGACGCUGAGGUGCGAAAGCGUGGGGAGCAAACAGG